GACGAACCGUGCGAACGUUGUUCGGAAUCACUGGGCUUAAAGGGCGCGUAGGCGGGCCGCAAAGUCAGGGGUGAAAGCCUCCAGCUCAACUGGAGAAGUGCCUCUGAUACUGGCGGCCUCGAGGGAGAUAGGGGCGUGCGGAACUUCCGGUGGAGCGGUGAAAUGCGUAGAUAUCGGAAGGAACACCGGUGGCGAAAGCGGCGCGCUGGAUCUCUUCUGACGCUGAGGCGCGAAAGCCAGGGGAGCCGGAACGGGAUUAGAUGAUCCCGAGUAG
rnacentral:rRNA from 1 species